CAUUUAGAUCAGACUAUCUGUAAGGUUACAGAUUGACCACAGAACUACAUUUAGAUCAGACUAUCUGUAAGGUUACAGAUUGACCACAGAACUACAUGUAGAUCAGACUAUCUGUAAGGCUACAGAUUGAUUACAGAACUACAUUUAGGUUGAACUAUCUGUAAGGUUACAGAUUGACCACAGAACUACAUUUAGGUUGAACUAUCUGUAAGGCUACAGAUUGAUUACAGAACUACAUUUAGAUCAGACUAUCUGUAAAGCUACAGAUUGACCACAGAACUACAUGUAGGUUGAACUAUCUGUAAGGCUACAGAUUGAUUACAGAACUACAUUUAGAUCAGACUAUCCGUAAAGCUCCAGAUUGACCACAGAACUACAUGUAGGUUGAACUAUCUGUAAGGUUACAGAUUGAUUACAGAACUACAUGUAGGUUGAACUAUCUGUAAGGCUACAGAUUGAUUACAGAACUACAUGUAGGUUGAACUAUCUGUAAGGCUACAGAUUGAUUACAGAACUACAUUUAGGUUGAACUAUCUGUAAGGUUACAGAUUGACCACAGAACUACAUGUAGGUUGAACUAUCUGUAAGGUUACAGAUUGACCACAGAACUACAUGUAGGUUGAACUAUCUGUAAGGUUACAGAUUGACCACAGAACUACAUGUAGGUUGAACUAUCUGUAAGGUUACAGAUUGACCACAGAACUACAUUUAGGUUGAACUAUCUGUAAGGUUACAGAUUGACCACAGAACUACAUUUAGGUUGAACUAUCUGUAAGGCUACAGAUUGACCACAGAACUACAUUUAGGUUGAACUAUCUGUAAGGUUACAGAUUGACCACAGAACUACAUGUAGGUUGAACUAUCUGUAAGGUUACAGAUUGACCACAGAACUACAUGUAGGUUGAACUAUCUGUAAGGCUACAGAUUGAUUACAGAACUACAUUUAGGUUGAACUAUCUGUAAGGUUACAGAUUGACCACAGAACUACAUGUAGGUUGAACUAUCUGUAAGGUUACAGAUUGACCACAGAACUACAUUUAGGUUGAACUAUCUGUAAGGUUACAGAUUGACCACAGUACUACAUUUAGGUUGAACUAUCUGUAAAGCUACAGAUUGACCACAGAACUACAUGUAGGUUGAACUAUCUGUAAGGCUACACCGUCAGAGAUCCAGAUUGAAUUGAGUCCCUAGUGUGACCUUCUUUUGUCCUUGGUCCUACUUGGAUCAUCUCUACCUCAUGAGCUGCGAGAGGCUGAUGGAAAGAGGCACCGCAACGUUUGGGAACAAACAAACACAUUACUGAGUGAAUAGCAGAAAUCCAUUGAAGCGGUUGAAAUGUGACACGUCAACAUUUUGUUUAACUAAUAUAUAAUAAUAAUAUA